CCGGGGAGCUCGUGGGAGCAGCUGUUUUCUGAUAUGGGCAAAGGGAGCUAUUUAUACUGGAAGCUGGAUGAAAAUCAGCCAGAAGGGAGUCGCAGCCAUCAUUGAUGCUCCUGUCCACCGAACACCGGGAACGCAGGGGAAAGGACCCCGUAUCCUUGGAUGACAGUCCUUCUCCUCCUCACUGCCUAGACAGUCGAUGGAGCAGACACUAACUGGAUACCAGGUGCUGGGUGGCCACUGAGCUCAAGAAACGAGGCCCUUCUCCUUGGGAUGGUCCAGGAGGGACAGGAUCGUGGGAACGACCAUACGAUCCAUCCUGAGACUGAGGGCUGUGUGGGAACAUGGGAACAGCCAGCAUGAGGGAGGCAGUCGUGUCUCGGGAUGACAAGGGAGUGUCACUGGGAAGGAGAGGUGGAAGUGAGCCACAAGACCACGACAGCUCACCCAACGUUGAGGGGUGGGCAAGAGAGGCCUGGCUGAGAGGGGCAGAGGGACUAGAGGAGAAGCAAACAGAGGAGGAGCCAGACCAGCCAGAGGGGCUGCUGAGGGACUCACAGGAGGAGGCUGGACUGGGGAGUGGGGGCAUGUCGCCAAGUGUCACCUGCACAUUCAGAAUGGGGCCAACUGCUGAAUGACUCUACCUCUAGGCAGGAGAAGCAGCAGAGUCUUCAAAGGAGGGAAGGGACACUUGACCCUUCUCCAACCACUUCCACCAACUCCUUGGCCACCCACUUACUAUCCGAACCCACACCCCCAGCGCUGCACCCUUCUCUCCUCUCUUCCCAAACACCCGUCUUUUAUUAAACAGAACAAUUUAAGGGGUCUUGGGUCUGGUCUGGUUGGGAUCUGAUUUUCACCUAACCCCGAGGGCCUUACCUGUCACCCUUUCCCCAGAUGUUUUCUUAAGGACAGUUUGUUCCCUGUGAAGAACCCAGUUCCAGAGGUGAGAAGUCAUUUUCCCACGCCCCACAUGAUGGAGCAAGGCGGCAGCUGGAACCCAGGACUGUACUCAGCACCACAGGACUGAGAAAAGCCAUCACUGGGGCUCAUGUUGGGAGGAAAGACUGGGCCUGACGGCACAGCCUAGAAUUUGAGCACUUGCCCAGCUGGGUGGCCACAGUCUGUGAGUACAAGACCAAAAAGAACCCAUCUGUGCAGCCAGGGACAGGAGAGGAGAUUCCAGACCACCUCCCGGGAGGAACUGACACCCUUGGCAACCAACCGGGUUUCCAACGGAGAGGACAGAGGCAGCAGAGGACCGUCCAGCUGCACUUACGGCAUUGGGAGGAAUGGGGCCAACCGCGGGAUGAUCAGGAUGGGAAGAGAAGCUAUUUGGAAGAAAGGAGAAAAUGAAUGGAGGAGAGAGACACGCACCCAGGGCUGAGAUGGUGUGAGGCAGCGGAGGGCUCUGCAGGCCUGAGUUCAGAAUGAUCUUGCCCACAGCAUCUCCUCCAGCAGAGACCUCUGUCCUUGGCCCGGACUUGGUGUUGAAUUCUUGGUGUUCCUUGUAUUUCCUCGGGGAUGGGAAACUUCCUGGACAGCUCUGGUGUGUUCCUACCCCUUGGGGGCUUGGUCAGAUUCUCCGUUUGUCCUUGGCACUAGGCAAAGCCUGUCCGCGGAAUGCAGAUGUAGUCCCUUCCCUCUCUGGGCGUGUUCUCAGUGAGGGGUUAGUAGAGGGACCAGGAACACAGAGCUGGAUGCCUCGGGCUCAGCCCGCAUGCAGCCACCCCCAGCACAUACUCAAAACAGCUGCAGGGGCAUGCGCAGGCGCUGGGUUUGAUCGUCAGCACCACAUAAAAAUAAAAUAAAGAUGUUGUGUCC
rnacentral:lncRNA from 1 species